rnacentral:lncRNA from 1 species
AUGAGAAGUGAAUCGUGGGCUAUUAUCUGGAAGUGGGAGGAGGUGUUUUAUUUUACUGGAAUCUCCGGGUUGGCAAGGACUUUAGGCACCAUCCAGUCUGUCAUUAAUGAUGACCUCUACUACUUUUCUUUUUUAAAGGGGGUAGCUGCAAAGUUUGGGACAAGACCUCUGCAGGCAACUGGAAGCACAGUGUACCCAGGUGGAAUCUACCAGUUCCAUGAACACAGCAGCCCAGAGAUCACACCUGUCCUUCAGGCUCCAUGCUGAUAGACAGACAUCAUUACUGUGGAGAGUUCAAGGGCAUCUGAGAACAUUUGGGAGCCUGGGGCUGUGUGGGAAUUGAAGCUGUAGCAUGAAUUAGAGCUAUACACACAGCCUGGUUGGAGCCUUGGCCAUUGGCUUGCAGACCCUGAGUCACUUGGCAAUGCAGGCAUGAGCACCUUCCCCAACAUAAGCUUGGUGAGUAGGCAAGUCAAAUGAGCAAGAAGUGGACACCCUUUGGGAUCUUGGGCUUGACACCUGGACAUCACAAGGGCCUGGCGACCUCUGCAUGUGUACUUACAGCUGUCCUACAACAUUUUCCAAGCCCUUCUUAUUAUGCUUCUUGGCAAAACAUAUGUUUCUUUGGAAUGGAGGUCUACCUCCUUAAGAGAUCCUUAUCUUUGUGAUUGGAUUUCUUGACGCCAUUUCUGUAUCAUUUUCAUCACUGGUUUUUUAUGGUGUCAUUCCUGGACUUUGCAUGUCUGCAACACAUUAUUUCCAACAGUGUUCAAAGUGCCUGGGAUUAGAAGAGGAAAAAAAGCCAGUGCACCACAGGCAAUAGAAUUGUCAAUGCCAAACUUAAUUUCAAACUUAAGAUUUUGAAACUUUAAAUAUAUUUAACACAUUUCAUAUCAUUGAAUAUAUAUCUGAUCUUUAAAACUAUCAUGGUAUUAUAUUUUACAAUGCAAAUAUAAUUUCAUAUGUUUUAAAAAAUUUCAUUAAGGCAAAAUUUAAAAUUUUUGCUUUGGUUCAUUCUGAAGCACAAAAAUGCUGGAGCCCUUUGGUGGAGGUAGUUUUUGAAUGAGUUGCCCAUUAUUGGUUGGGGUGAGCUUCCUCUACCUCCUUGGAAUUCAAUGUGAGUGCCUUGAUGAUUGGAACUGUACAUUAUUGUUCUAUUAUUCUUGAUUUUGAAUGUCCCUUUCAUUAUUUCCAAACUUUCAGAAAGAUUCGUUUUAAGUUAUCUCCAGAUCUUUUCUCACCAGAGCCUGUGUGAAAUUAAAGACCUGAUCGAUGCUUGGUAGAAGAGGAAAAGAAGAUAUCAGUGAUGAUAGUAGAGAGGAGAUGUCCAUUCAAGUCUCCAGUGAGAAGUGUCUACUAGGAAAGUCCUUCAUGAGAUUGAAACACAGAGAAAAGGAAGCUUCUUGGUGGCAUAACACAAAUACUGGAAUUGACUGAAGGGGGAUUUUAAAAUCAAGCACGAUUAAGCAACACUUUAAGAAAUGUUUGUCAAAAGUUAAUUUACAUCAUUAAAACUGCUCUGGAGUCUAUACAUGUGAACAUGGAUUAUAACUUUUCAACACACAACUGUUCAAAUAUUUAAGCGUGUGCAAGAAUAGUAGCUCUAUGUCCCUGAUAUUCUGCUAAGAAUAGUAAUGUGUUCUUCAUGAAGUUGGUAUGGUAUCAAAUGAAAUCUUGAAAAUGCAUUGGUCAAAUGGAGGCCUUUUUCCCUAACUGGAUGCUAACAUUUAUGCCAUAGUGAAUUCAAUGUAGCAAAAUCAAGUACUCAGAAGAAAUUAUAAAUAUAAUAUAAAUUUAUUUUUUCUAAUCUUGGGUUUGAGAAAGAUUUUCUAAGGGCAAAGUUGAAGUUAUCAAGGGGAAGGUUUAAUUUGAUUUCAGCCAAAUUAAAAUGUACUUUUGAUGUAAAAAAUCAAAAAAAGGAAACGAAAACGGCAAACAUAUACAACAAAGAAGGACAUAAGGGCUGGGUACAUACAAUUCACUUUAAAAUCAUGAAUAUUCAAUAAGUACAAAAGAAUUCAACUUCACUAGUUAGAUAAAUAUCAAAAAGCUCCCAGUGAGAAUUAUUCUAUUGGAAAAUCCCAGUGUAGGAUAGUAUGAUGCUAGGGAUCUUUCUUCUAUGAAAGAACACAAAUUGCUGAAAUUGUUCUAUAUUCUAGAAAUUCUAGAAUUUAGGGAAUAAUUUGACAACAUACAAAAUGACAUACUGGUUGAUUCAACAUGCCAUACCAUUAAAGACACACAUGAAAAGAAUAUAGACAAUAGUUUUAGUUAAAAAUACUACAAUAAUGUAAUAGGUCAAAUAUAUUAUGAGUAAAAAUAUUAUGACAUGACAUUACACUGCUCUAACAAGUUGUGAUAGUGAUUAACUAUUAAGUAACAGAUUUUUGAAAAAAGGAAUAAAGAGCAAAAAG